GCCUAACACAUGCAAGUCGAGCGGCAGCAUGCUUAGUAGCAAUACUAAGUGAUGGCGAGCGGCGGACGGGUGAGGAACACGUAGGGACCUGCCCAAGAGAGGGGGACAACCAAUGGAAACGUUGGCUAAUACCGCAUAAUCUCUUAGGAGAAAAGUUGCCCGUAAGGGUAGCGCUUUUGGAGGGGCCUGCGUCCGAUUAGCUAGUUGGUGAGGUAAUAGCUCACCAAGGCUGUGAUCGGUAACUGGUCUGAGAGGACGACCAGUCACACUGGGACUGAGACACGGCCCAGACUCCUACGGGAGGCAGCAGUGGGGAAUCUUGGACAAUGGGGGCAACCCUGAUCCAGCGAUGCCGCGUGGGUGAAGAAGGCCUUCGGGUUGUAAAGCCCUUUAGGCUGGGACGAAGGAUGUGGGACGAAUAAUCCUGCAUUUUGACGGUACCAGCAGAAUAAGCACCGGCAAACUCUGUGCCAGCCGCCGCGGUAA
rnacentral:rRNA from 1 species